CAGCCGUAAACGAUGCGCGUUAGGUGUAUCGACGACCACGAGUCGUCGAGGUGCCGAAGGGAAACCGUGAAACGUGCCGCCUGGGAAGUACGGUCGCAAGGCUGAAACUUAAAGGAAUUGGCGGGGGGAGCACCACAACAGGUGGAGCCUGCGGUUUAAUUGGACUCAACGCCGGGAAGCUCACCGGAUAGGACAGCAGAAUGAUUGCCGGGCUGAAGACCCUGCAUGACUAGCUGAGAGGAGGUGCAUGGCGUCAGUGACU
rnacentral:rRNA from 1 species